rnacentral:tRNA from 1 species
GGGCCUGUAGCUUAGCUGGCUAAAGCGUCGCAUUCGCAUUGCGGAGAUCGCGGGUUCGAAUCCCGCCAGGUCCA